rnacentral:rRNA from 1 species
UACCAGCACCCCGAGUGGUCGGGACGAUUAUUGGGCCUAAAGCAUCCGUAGCCGGUUUUACAAGUCCUCCGUUAAAUCCAGCUGCUUAACAGUUGGGCUGCGGAGGAUACUAUAAGACUAGGAGGCAGGAGAGGCAAGCGGUACUCAGUGGGUAGGGGUAAAAUCCGUUGAUCCAUUGAAGACCACCAGUGGCGAAGGCGGCUUGCCAGAAUGCGCUCGACGGUGAGGGAUGAAAGCUGGGGGAGCAAACCGG